AACAAAAACAAAACAAAAAAACAAAAAAUGUGGGGAUUAAAUUGCAAAAACCAAAGUUUUGGCACGAGUAACAGUUCAUCACUACUUCUUUUCUUCUUCGACGAUCCCAUACGGCUGCACACACCACAUCCGCUUUCACUUCCUCUCUUUUGUGUUUGUGAACGAUCACUAUAACGAAGAUGAGGAAGCUCAAUCGUCCCACCGGUCACCGAAUGUCUAUGCUCAGAACAAUGGUUUCGCAGUUGGUGAAACACGAAAGGAUUGAAACUACUGUUGCUAAGGUUAUUCCUUCAAUUUCCUAAAAAAAAAA